AUUGAACGCUGGCGGCAGGCUUAACACAUGCAAGUCGAACGGUAACAUAAAGAAGCUUGCUUCUUUGAUGACGAGUGGCGGACGGGUGAGUAAUGCUUGGGAAUCUAGCUUAUGGAGGGGGAUAACUACGGGAAACUGUAGCUAAUACCGCGUAGAAUCGAGAGAUGAAAGUGUGGGACUUUCGGGCCACAUGCCAUAGGAUGAGCCCAAGUGGGAUUAGGUAGUUGGUGAGGUAAAGGCUCACCAAGCCGACGAUCUCUAGCUGGUCUGAGAGGAUGACCAGCCACACUGGGACUGAGACACGGCCCAGACUCCUACGGGAGGCAGCAGUGGGGAAUAUUGCGCAAUGGGGGCAACCCUGACGCAGCCAUGCCGCGUGAAUGAAGAAGGCCUUCGGGUUGUAAAGUUCUUUCGGUAGCGAGGAAGGCAUUUAGUUUAAUAGACUAGGUGAUUGACGUUAACUACAGAAGAAGCACCGGCCAACUCCGUGCCAGCAGCCGCGGUAAUACGGAGGGUGCGAGCGUUAAUCGGAAUAACUGGGCGUAAAGGGCACGCAGGCGGUGACUUAAGUGAGGUGUGAAAGCCCCGGGCUUAACCUGGGAAUUGCAUUUCAUACUGGGUCGCUAGAGUACUUUAGGGAGGGGUAGAAUUCCACGUGUAGCGGUGAAAUGCGUAGAGAUGUGGAGGAAUACCGAAGGCGAAGGCAGCCCCUUGGGAAUGUACUGACGCUCAUGUGCGAAAGCGUGGGGAGCAAACAGG
rnacentral:rRNA from 1 species